UUAAGUUAUUAAGGGCGCACGGUGGAUGCCUUGGCACUAGAAGCCGACGAAGGACGUUACUAACGACGAUAUGCUUUGGGGAGCUGUAAGUAAGCUUUGAUCCAGAGAUUUCCGAAUGGGGAAACCCAGCACGAGUUAUGUCGUGUUAUCGAUAUGUGAAUACAUAGCAUAUCUGAAGGCAGACGCGGAGAACUGAAACAUCUUAGUACCCGCAGGAAGAGAAAGAAAAAUCGAUUCCCUGAGUAGCGGCGAGCGAAACGGGAAGAGCCCAAACCAAUGAGCUUGCUUGUUGGGGUUGUAGGACACUCUAUACGGAGUUACAAAAGAACAGACUAGACGAAUCAUCUGGAAAGAUGAAUCAAAGAAGGUAAUAAUCCUGUAGUCGAAAGUUUGUUCACUCUUGAGUGGAUCCUGAGUACGACGGAACACGAGAAAUUCCGUCGGAAUCUGGGAGGACCAUCUCCCAAGGCUAAAUACUCUCUAGUGACCGAUAGUGAACCAGUACCGUGAGGGAAAGGUGAAAAGUACCCCGGAAGGGGAGUGAAAUAGAACUUGAAACCGUGUGCUUACAAGUAGUCAGAGCCCGUUAAUGGGUGAUGGCGUGCCUUUUGUAGAAUGAACCGGCGAGUUACGAUUUGAUGCAAGGUUAAGCAGUGAAUGUGGAGCCGUAGCGAAAGCGAGUCUGAAUAGGGCGUUGAGUAUUUGGUCGUAGACCCGAAACCAGGUGAUCUACCCAUGACCAGGUUGAAGUUCAGGUAACACUGAAUGGAGGACCGAACCGACUUACGUUGAAAAGUGAGCGGAUGAGUUGUGGGUAGCGGAGAAAUUCCAAUCGAACCUGGAGAUAGCUGGUUCUCUCCGAAAUAGCUUUAGGGCUAGCCUCAAGUGAUGAUUAUUGGAGGUAGAGCACUGUUUGGACGAGGGGCCCUUAUCGGGUUACCGAAUUCAGACAAACUCCAAAUGCCAAUCAAUUUAACUUGGGAGUCAGAACGCGGGUGAUAAGGUCCGUGUUCGAAAGGGAAACAGCCCAGACCACCAGCUAAGGUCCCAAAAUAUAUGUUAAGUGGAAAAGGAUGUGGCGUUGCCCAGACAACUAGGAUGUUGGCUUAGAAGCAGCCAUCAUUUAAAGAGUGCGUAAUAGCUCACUAGUCGAGUGACACUGCGCCGAAAAUGUACCGGGGCUAAACAUAUUACCGAAGCUGUGGAUUGUCCGUAAGGACAAUGGUAGGAGAGCGUUCUAAGGGCGUUGAAGCAUGAUCGCAAGGACAUGUGGAGCGCUUAGAAGUGAGAAUGCCGGUGUGAGUAGCGAAAGACGGGUGAGAAUCCCGUCCACCGAUUGACUAAGGUUUCCAGAGGAAGGCUCGUCCGCUCUGGGUUAGUCGGGUCCUAAGCUGAGGCCGAUAGGCGUAGGCGAUGGAUAACAGGUUGAUAUUCCUGUACCACCAUUAUUCGUUUUAAGCGAUGGGGGGACGCAGUAGGAUAGGCGAAGCGUACGAUUGGAUUGUACGUCCAAGCAGUGAGAUUGAGUGUUAGGCAAAUCCGGCACUCUUAAGAUUGAGCUGUGAUGGGGAGAGGAAAUUGUUUCCUCGAGUCGUUGAUUUCACACUGCCAAGAAAAGCCUCUAGCUAGAAUUGUGGUGCCCGUACCGCAAACCGACACAGGUAGUCAAGAUGAGAAUUCUAAGGUGAGCGAGCGAACUCUCGUUAAGGAACUCGGCAAAAUGACCCCGUAACUUCGGGAGAAGGGGUGCUCUUUAGGGUUAACGCCCAGGAGAGCCGCAGUGAAUAGGCCCAAGCGACUGUUUAUCAAAAACACAGGUCUCUGCUAAACCGUAAGGUGAUGUAUAGGGGCUGACGCCUGCCCGGUGCUGGAAGGUUAAGAGGAGUGGUUAGCUUCUGCGAAGCUACGAAUCGAAGCCCCAGUAAACGGCGGCCGUAACUAUAACGGUCCUAAGGUAGCGAAAUUCCUUGUCGGGUAAGUUCCGACCCGCACGAAAGGCGUAACGAUUUGGGCACUGUCUCAACGAGAGACUCGGUGAAAUCAUAGUACCUGUGAAGAUGCAGGUUACCCGCGACAGGACGGAAAGACCCCGUGGAGCUUUACUGUAGUCUGAUAUUGAAAUUCGGCACAGCUUGUACAGGAUAGGUAGGAGCCUGAGAUACGUGAGCGCUAGCUUACGUGGAGGCGUUGGUGGGAUACUACCCUCGCUGUGUUGGAUUUCUAACCCGCACCAUUUAUCAUGGUGGGAGACAGUGUCAGAUGGGCAGUUUGACUGGGGCGGUCGCCUCCUAAAGAGUAACGGAGGCGCUCAAAGGUUUCCUCAGAAUGGUUGGAAAUCAUUCAUAGAGUGUAAAGGCAUAAGGAAGCUUGACUGCGAGACUUACAAGUCGAGCAGGGUCGAAAGACGGACUUAGUGAUCCGGUGGUUCCGCAUGGAAGGGCCAUCGCUCAACGGAUAAAAGCUACCCCGGGGAUAACAGGCUUAUCUCCCCCAAGAGUUCACAUCGACGGGGAGGUUUGGCACCUCGAUGUCGGCUCAUCGCAUCCUGGGGCUGUAGUCGGUCCCAAGGGUUGGGCUGUUCGCCCAUUAAAGCGGUACGCGAGCUGGGUUCAGAACGUCGUGAGACAGUUCGGUCCCUAUCCGUCGUGGGCGUAGGAAAUUUGAGAGGAGCUGUCCUUAGUACGAGAGGACCGGGAUGGACAUACCUCUGGUGUACCAGUUGUCGUGCCAACGGCAUCGCUGGGUAGCUAUGUAUGGACGGGAUAAGUGCUGAAAGCAUCUAAGCAUGAAGCCCCCCUCAAGAUGAGAUUUCCCAACUUCGGUUAUAAGAUCCCUCAAAGAUGAUGAGGUUAAUAGGUUCGAGGUGGAAGCAUAGCGAUAUGUGCAGCUGACGAAUACUAAUCGAUCGAAGACUUAAUCAA
rnacentral:rRNA from 1 species